AGAGACCGGCGCACGGGUGCGUAACGCGUAUGCAAUCUACCUUUCACAAAGGGAUAGCCCAGAGAAAUUUGGAUUAAUACCUUAUAGUAAUACGACUUGGCAUCAAGAUGUAUUUAAAGAUUUAUUGGUGAAAGAUGAGCAUGCGUCCCAUUAGCUUGUUGGUAAGGUAACGGCUUACCAAGGCAACGAUGGGUAGGGGUCCUGAGAGGGAGAUCCCCCACACUGGUACUGAGACACGGACCAGACUCCUACGGGAGGCAGCAGUGAGGAAUAUUGGACAAUGGGCGCAAGCCUGAUCCAGCCAUGCCGCGUGCAGGAUGACGGUCCUAUGGAUUGUAAACUGCUUUUGUACAGGAAGAAACCCUUUCACGUGUGGAAGAUUGACGGUACUGUAAGAAUAAGGAUCGGCUAACUCCGUGCCAGCAGCCGCGGUAAUACGGAGGAUCCAAGCGUUAUCCGGAAUCAUUGGGUUUAAAGGGUCCGUAGGCGGUCAAGUAAGUCAGUGGUGAAAGCCCAUCGCUCAACGGUGGAACGGCCAUUGAUA
rnacentral:rRNA from 1 species